rnacentral:hammerhead_ribozyme from 1 species
UUCCAGAUGAUGAGUCCAAAAAAGAACGAAAUGCGCAUCCUGGUA